rnacentral:rRNA from 1 species
UGGGGAAUAUUGGACAAUGGGGGCAACCCUGAUCCAGCCAUGCCGCGUGAGUGAAGAAGGCCCUAGGGUUGUAAAGCUCUUUCAGAUGUGAGGAUGAUGACAGUAGCAUCAGAAGAAGCACCGGCUAACUUCGUGCCAGCAGCCGCGGUAAUACGAAGGGUGCUAGCGUUGUUCGGAAUUACUGGGCGUAAAGGGCGUGUAGGCGGAUGAUCAAGCUAGGGGUGAAAGCCCAGGGCCCAACCCUGGAACUGCCUUUAGAACUGAUUGUCUAGAAUCCGUAAGGGGAGUGUGGAAUUCCUAGUGUAGAGGUGAAAUUCGUAGAUAUUAGGAAGAACACCAGUGGCGAAGGCGGCACUCUGGUACGGUAUUGACGCUGAGGCGCGAAAGCGUGGGGAGCAAACAGG